CUGUGCCGCCUCCCGUCGACCUCAGACAACCCCCCGCCGCCGGCCCGAGGUGCCCCAGCCGCCGCCGUGGCCGCAGCUUCUCUGGAACCCGAGCUUUAGCUCGUGCUGGCUUGUCUCUUGUUGCCGUCGCCGCGGCCGCUCCCCGCCGCCGAUCUAGGUGAGCACUGUGCUCCUCCCAUCCCCUACACCCACCUCUGGCCCGCGCGCAUGUCGCCAUGCCACCAGAAGCCGGCCGGAGCAAGCUUGCUCUAGCCAAGCUCAAAAUAGGGCUAUUCCUU
rnacentral:lncRNA from 1 species